UACGAAGGGGGCUAGCGUUGCUCGGAAUCACUGGGCGUAAAGCGCACGUAGGCGGAUUGUUAAGUCAGGGGUGAAAUCCUGGAGCUCAACUCCAGAACUGCCUUCGAUACUGGAAGACUUGAGUCCGGGAGAGGUGAGUGGAACUGCGAGUGUAGAGGUGAAAUUCGUAGAUAUUCGCAAGAACACCAGUGGCGAAGGCGGCUCACUGGCCCGGUACUGACGCUGAGGUGCGAAAGCGUGGGGAGCAAACAGG
rnacentral:rRNA from 1 species